CUUGCAAACACAGGGAGAGAAGUGGAGUAAGAAAGAAGACAGCAAGAAAGACCUGAAGCUACAUUAAAGUCACUACUUGGGCCCAGGAAACAAAGAAGAGCGGCCAUAUUCCUUUCACGAGAUUUACAGGAACUCCUACUUUAUAAUUCAUGGGUACAAAGUACUUGUUUGGAUGGCAAGUGCUUCAGGAUUUUUGGAAUAUCUAUCAGGCUUCAGCUUUACUAGGACUAAUCCAGUUUGACUAUACUUAGGAUACAUAACACUUGAUUCAAGGAGUCAGGAAGUUUUCAAUCAGACAUUCUAGUGCCUAGGGCUCAGUGGAAAAGCUCUGUCAAAUGGAGGUAGUACAAAGCAGCAAUUUAACAGCUUUUGAGAGGUUCCAAAUUUCACACCUCAUAUCACUUCCCUUCUACGGGAAAAACAGAAUUCACAAAUAGCGUGGUUGUCUCCUUUGCGUGGUGCCACCAGGGAAGAAGGGAAAGACCAUCUAUGUUGGGAUUAUCAGCAGUGUCUGUGUUCUGACAUUCCCCUGGAAGACUACUGAGGUAAAGAGGGUGACAGUUCUCCCUACAAAGAGGAAGCACCAUCCAGAAGCUGGCCUUAAGCUAAUUGAGGUACAAUUACAAAUCCUAAUCCUAUGCUAACAUCAAGACCUGCAGAACUGGCAGUGCUUAAACACUCCCAUACUGGCCCAGCCAGUGACAGUCAUGGGCAGAGAGUGACAGGCAUGGAGGAAGUGCUUAAGCUGCUCUGAAAAAGAGCUAUCUAUUAGGGGCUUGUAUUUUGGACGUUUUGAGAAACACAGGGGGAAGCGAUUACUGAUCCUUUAAAGGAACAAUGCAGAGGAAAAAAAAAAAAGGCAAUUUAAGCCUGGAGUUAGCUGAUACAGAAUGCCAGCCGAACUAGAGCAACCUGCCGAGGCCCCUGGGAUUGCUGGAAAGAUGGAAGAAGAGUUUCAGUUAGCAGUGACAGCUGCUUGUGAAAGUGAAAGGAAAGGUCUCUCUGACUCAACUCAUUAGCUAGUAAUCCUCAGCGGUGAUGCAAGGAGCACGGUACCAGGAGGGCUGCCAGC
rnacentral:lncRNA from 1 species